AUACUUACCUGGCAGAGGAGAUACUAUGAUCACGAAGGUAGUUUACCUAGGGUGAGGCUUAUCCAUUGCACUCCAGAUGUGCUGACUCCUACAAUUUCCCCAAAUGUGGGAAAGUCUACUGCAUAAUUUGUGGUAGUGAAGGACUACAUGUGCUCUUCUU